GACAGAGGGUGCAAACGUUGUUCGGAUUUACCGGGCGUAAAGCGUGUGUAGGCGGCUUGGCAAGUUGGAUGUGAAAGCCCACGGCUCAACCGUGGAAGCGCACCCAAAACUGCUUCGCUCGAGUCUCGGAGAGGAAGGUGGAAUGCUUGGUGUAGAGGUGAAAUUCGUAGAUAUCAAGCGGAACACCGGUGGCGAAGGCGGCCUUCUGGACAGUGACUGACGCUGAGACGCGAAAGCGUGGGGAGCAAACAGG
rnacentral:rRNA from 1 species